rnacentral:rRNA from 1 species
UACGAAGGGGGCUAGCGUUGUUCGGAAUAACUGGGCGUAAAGCGCAUGUAGGCGGAUUUUUAAGUCAGAGGUGAAAUCCCAGGGCUCAACCCCGGCAUUGCCUUUGAUACUGGAGAUGUGGAGUCUGGGAGAGGUGAGUGGAAUUCCGAGUGUAGAGGUGAAAUUCGUAGAUAUUCGGAGGAACUCCAGUGGCGAAGGCGGCUCACUGGCCCGAGACUGACGCUGAGAUGCGAAAGCGUGGGGAGCAAGCAGG